UACGUAGGGUGCGAGCGUUAAUCGGAAUUACUGGGCGUAAAGCGUGCGCAGGCGGUUUGCUAAGACAGGUGUGAAAUCCCCGGGCUUAACCUGGGAACUGCGCUUGUGACUGGCAGGCUAGAGUACGGCAGAGGGGGGUGGAAUUCCUGGUGUAGCAGUGAAAUGCGUAGAUAUCAGGAGGAACACCGAUGGCGAAGGCAGCCCCCUGGGCCUGUACUGACGCUCAUGCACGAAAGCGUGGGGAGCAAACAGGAUUAGAUA
rnacentral:rRNA from 1 species